AUUGAACGCUGGCGGCAGGCCUAACACAUGCAAGUCGAGCGGUAGCACAGGGAGCUUGCUCCUGGGUGACGAGCGGCGGACGGGUGAGUAAUGUCUGGGAAACUGCCUGAUGGAGGGGGAUAACUACUGGAAACGGUAGCUAAUACCGCAUAACGUCUACGGACCAAAGUGGGGGACCUUCGGGCCUCAUGCCAUCAGAUGUGCCCAGAUGGGAUUAGCUAGUAGGUGGGGUAAUGGCUCACCUAGGCGACGAUCCCUAGCUGGUCUGAGAGGAUGACCAGCCACACUGGAACUGAGACACGGUCCAGACUCCUACGGGAGGCAGCAGUGGGGAAUAUUGCACAAUGGGCGCAAGCCUGAUGCAGCCAUGCCGCGUGUGUGAAGAAGGCCUUCGGGUUGUAAAGCACUUUCAGCGAGGAGGAAGGGUAGUGUGUUAAUAGCACAUUGCAUUGACGUUACUCGCAGAAGAAGCACCGGCUAACUCCGUGCCAGCCGCCGCGGUAA
rnacentral:rRNA from 1 species